rnacentral:rRNA from 1 species
UACGUAGGGUGCAAGCGUUAUCCGGAAUUAUUGGGCGUAAAGGGCGCGUAGGCGGCGAUUCAAGUGACGGGUGAAAUCCCUCGGCUUAACCGAGGAACUGCCUGUCAGACUGGAUUGCUUGAGGCCGGGAGAGGUGAGUGGAAUUCCCAGUGUAGCGGUGAAAUGCGUAGAUAUUGGGAGGAACACCAGUGGCGAAGGCGGCUCACUGGACCGGUACUGACGCUGAGGCGCGAAAGCGUGGGGAGCAAACAGG